AACGGCUCAGUAACACGUGGACAACCUACCCUGAGGAGGGGGAUAACCCCGGAAAACUGGGGAUAAUACCCCAUAGACCAGGGAUGCUGGAAUGCACCUUGGUUGAAAGGCCCGCCGCCUCAGGAUGGGUCUGCGGCCGAUUAGGUUGUUGUUGGGGUAACGGCCCAACAAGCCUUUGAUCGGUACGGGUUGUGGGAGCAAGAGCCCGGAGAUGGAUUCUGAGACACGAAUCCAGGCCCUACGGGGCGCAGCAGGCGCGAAAACUUUACAAUGCGAGAAAUCGUGAUAAGGGAACCCCGAGUGCCCGUAAAUUCGGGCUGUCCAUCAGUGCAAAAAACUGGUGAAGAAAGAGCCGGGCAAGACCGGUGCCAGCCGCCGCGGUAAUACCGGCGGCUCGAGUGGUGGCCACUAUUACUGGGCUUAAAGCGUCCGUAGCUUGGUUGUUAAGUCUUCUGGGAAAUCCAUCGGCUUAACCGAUGGGAGUUCAGGAGAUACUGGCAACCUAGGGACCGGGAGAGGUGAGAGGUACUCCAGGGGUAGGAGUGAAAUCCUGUAAUCCUUGGGGGACCACCUGUGGCGAAGGCGUCUCACUAGAACGGCUCCGACAGUGAGGGACGAAAGCUGGGGGAGCAAACCGGAUUAGAUACCCGGGUAGUCCCAGCUGUAAACGAUGCGCGUUAGGUGUAUCGGUGACCACGAGUCACCGAGGUGCCGAAGGGAAACCGUGAAA
rnacentral:rRNA from 1 species